rnacentral:rRNA from 1 species
AUUGAACGCUGGCGGCAGGCCUAACACAUGCAAGUCGAGCGAGCGGCGGACGGGUGAGUAAUGUAUGGGGACUGCCCGAUAGAGGGGGACAACUACUGGAAACGGUGGCUAAUACCGCAUCCUAUCGGAUAACCCAUAUGGGACUAGCUAUUAGGUGGGGCAAAGGCUCCCCUAGGAGACGAUCUCUAGCUUGUCUGAGAGGAUGAUCAGCCACACUGGGGCGGGGACCCGGCCCAGACUCCUACGGAGGCAGCAGUGGGGAAUAGGGCACAAUGGGCGCAAGCCUGAUGCAGCCAGGCCGCGUGUAUGAAGAAGGCAUUAGGGUUGUAAAGUACUUUCAGCGGGGAGGCGUUACCCGCAGAAGAAGCACCGGCUAACUCAGUGCCAGCAGCCGCGGUAAUAC